rnacentral:rRNA from 1 species
CGACCGCUGGCGGCAUGCCUAACACAUGCAAGUCGAACGAGACCUUCGGGUCUAGUGGCGCACGGGUACGUAACGCGUGGGAACCUGCCCUUAGGUUCGGAAUAACUCCCCGAAAGGGGUGCUAAUACCGGAUAAUGUCUUCGGACCAAAGAUUUAUCGCCUUUGGAUGGGCCCGCGUUGGAUUAGCUAGUUGGUAGGGUAAAAGCCUACCAAGGCGACGAUCCAUAGCUGGUCUGAGAGGAUGAUCAGCCACACUGGGACUGAGACACGGCCCAGACUCCUACGGGAGGCAGCAGUGGGGAAUAUUGGACAAUGGGCGAAAGCCUGAUCCAGCAAUGCCGCGUGAGUGAUGAAGGCCUUAGGGUUGUAAAGCUCUUUUACCCGGGAUGAUAAUGACAGUACCGGGAGAAUAAGCUCCGGCUAACUCCGUG